UCCUGUCUCAGGAUGAACGCUGGCGGCGUGCCUAAUACAUGCAAGUCGAGCGAGAAAUUCUUUAAUGAAUCUUCGGAGGAUUUAAGGAAUGGACAGCGGCGGACGGGUGAGUAACGCGUAGGCAACCUGCCUCGCACAGAGGGAUAGCCAUUGGAAACGAUGAAUAAUACCUCAUGAAACCGGAACAACACAUGUUGAUCCGGUCAAAGAUUUAUCGGUGUGAGAUGGGCCUGCGUCUGAUUAACUAGUUGGUGAGGUAACGGCUCACCAAGGUGACGAUCAGUAGCCGACCUGAGAGGGUGAUCGGCCACAUUGGAACUGAGACACGGUCCAAACUUCUACGGAAGGCAGCAGUAGGGAAUCUUGCACAAUGGGCGAAAGCCUGAUGCAGCAACGCCGCGUGAAGGAUGAAGGCCUUCGGGUUGUAAACUUCUGUUCCCGGGGACGAAGAAAGUGACGGUACCCGGGCAGCAAGCCCCGGCUAACUACGUGCCAGCAGCCGCGGUAAUACGUAGGGGGCAAGCGUUAUCCGGAAUUAUUGGGCGUAAAGAGUGCGUAGGUGGUUAUGUAAGCGUGAGGUUUAAGGCAGUGGCUUAACCACUGUUCGCCUUGCGAACUGCAUAACUUGAGUGCAGGAGGAGAAAGCGGAAUUCCUAGUGUAGCGGUGAAAUGCGUAGAUAUUAGGAGGAACACCAGCGGCGAAGGCGGCUUUCUGGACUGCAACUGACACUGAGGCACGAAAGCGUGGGGAGCAAACAGGAUUAGAUACCCUGGUAGUCCACGCCGUAAACGAUGAGCACUAGUUGUUGGGUCCGAACGGAUUCAGUGACGCAGUUAACGCAAUAAGUGCUCCGCCUGGGGAGUACGCUCGCAAGAGUAAAACUCAAAGGAAUUGACGGGGACCCGCACAAGCAGCGGAGCAUGUGGUUUAAUUCGAAGCAACGCGAAAAACCUUACCAGGACUUGACAUCCUGCUGACAGGCCCUUAACCGGGCCCUUCUUCGGACAGCAGAGACAGGUGGUGCAUGGUUGUCGUCAGCUCGUGUCGUGAGAUGUUGGGUUAAGUCCCGCAACGAGCGCAACCCUUGUUGUCAGUUACUAACAUUAAGUUGAGGACUCUGGCGAGACUGCCGAGGUUAACUCGGA
rnacentral:rRNA from 1 species